GGGAAAUUUGUAAUGUCAGCCUAGUUUUGUUGAGUUUAAAUUGCAAAGGUUUUCCAAAACUGGAAGGGAAUUCCUCAGAAGAAAUAUAGGCGUCAGUUGCAGGUGGUGUUCAUGGAGGCAAAUUUUAUAAGUGAGGUUUUUAGAUUGAAAUACGUAUUUAUAGGCAAAGUGGGUUACAGGAUAGUGAUAGAAACAAGGUACCAGAGGCCAUAGGAUGUAACAGCUUCAGAGAAGACCCACUUCUACCUGACUUCUGCCAUCAAUUCACUCUUCUCAGAAGCUUCUGUAGCAGCCUUUUUACCUCAGGGUUGUGCUGUGUCGCGUUCGUGUUUUAAAACCCUAUCCAUUAUGGGGUGGCACAAACAUCAGGUAAGCUGCUUUCUGGUUGUGCGUAUGUAUUAAAGCCGCAGCGUAAAAGACAUGUAAUCGGUACUUUUUAAUGCCAUCUGAUGGAAUUUACUGCUUUUCCUUUCUUUCACAAUCAAUAAAAAUAUUUUGUGGAAA